CUUAACACAUGCAAGUCGAGGGGUAACAGGGUGCUUGCACCGCUGACGACCGGCGCACGGGUGCGUAACGCGUAUAGAACCUACCUUUUACAGGAGAAUACCCCAGAGAAAUUUGGAAUAAUGCUCCAUAGUAUUAUUGAAUGGCAUCAUUUGAUAAUUAAACAUUUAUGGGUAAAAGAUGGCUAUGCGUUCUAUUAGCUAGAUGGUAAGGUAACGGCUUACCAUGGCAACGAUAGAUAGGGGUCCUGAGAGGGAGAUCCCCCACACUGGUACUGAGACACGGACCAGACUCCUACGGGAGGCAGCAGUGAGGAAUAUUGGACAAUGGAGGCAACUCUGAUCCAGCCAUGCCGCGUGCAGGAAGACGGUCCUAUGGAUUGUAAACUGCUUUUAUACAGGAAGAAACACUCCCUCGUGAGGGAGCUUGACGGUACUGUAUGAAUAAGCACCGGCUAACUCCGUGCCAGCAGCCGCGGUAAUACGGAGGGUGCAAGCGUUAUCCGGAAUCAUUGGGUUUAAAGGGUCCGUAGGCGGGCUAAUAAGUCAGGGGUGAAAUCCAACAGCUUAACUGUUGAAUUGCCUUUGAUACUGUUAGUCUUGAGUUAUAUGGAAGUAGAUAGAAUGUGUAGUGUAGCGGUGAAAUGCUUAGAGAUUACACAGAAUACCGAUUGCGAAGGCAGUCUACUACGUAUAUACUGACGC
rnacentral:rRNA from 1 species